rnacentral:rRNA from 1 species
UACAGAGGGGGCAAGCGUUAUUCGGAAUUAUUGGGCGUAAAGAGCGUGUAGGCGGUUUGGUAGGUCCGCUGUGAAAACUCGAGGCUCAACCUCGAGACGCCGGUGGAAACCAUCAGACUAGAGUCCGGAAGAGGAGAGUGGAAUUCCUGGUGUAGCGGUGAAAUGCGCAGAUAUCAGGAAGAACACCCGUGGCUAAGGCGGCUCUCUAGUACGGUACUGACGCUGAGACGCGAAAGCGUGGGGAGCGAACAGG